rnacentral:rRNA from 1 species
CCUACGGGAGGCUGCAGUGGGGAAUAUUGCACAAUGGGGGAAACCCUGAUGCAGCAACGCCGCGUGAGUGAAGAAGUCUUUCGGUAUGUAAAGCUCUAUCAGCAGGGAAGAAGAUGACGGUACCUGAGUAAGACGCCCCGGCUAACUACGUGCCAGCAGCCGCGGUAAUACGUAGGGGGCAAGCGUUAUCCGGAUUUACUGGGUGUAAAGGGAGCGUAGACGGCAGCACAAGUCUGGAGUGAAAUCCUGGGGCUUAACCCCGGAACUGCUUUGGAAACUGUGCGGCUGGAGUGCAGGAGGGGUAAGCGGAAUUCCUAGUGUAGCGGUGAAAUGCGUAGAUAUUAGGAGGAACACCGGUGGCGAAGGCGGCUUACUGGACUGUAACUGACGUUGAGGCUCGAAAGCGUGGGGAGCAAACAGGAUUAGAUACCCUUGUAGUC